UACGUAGGGUGCGAGCGUUAAUCGGAAUUACUGGGCGUAAAGCGUGCGCAGGCGGUUUUGUAAGUCAGAUGUGAAAGCCCCGGGCUUAACCUGGGAAUGGCAUUUGGGACUGCAAGGCUUGAGUGCGGCAGAGGAGACUGGAAUUCCUGGUGUAGCGGUGAAAUGCGCAGAUAUCAGGAGGAACACCGGUGGCGAAGGCGGGACUCUGGGCCGUAACUGACGCUGAGGAGCGAAAGCGUGGGGAGCGAACAGG
rnacentral:rRNA from 1 species